GACGAACGCUGGCGGCGUGCUUAACACAUGCAAGUCGAACGGAAAGGCCCUGCUUUUGUUGGUUGCUCGAUUGGCGAACGGGUGAGUAACACGUGAGUAUCCUGUCCUUGUCUUUGGGAUAACUUCAGGAAACUCGGGCUAUUACCCGAUAUGAUCUCUUGCUGCAUGGUGGUCUUUGGAAAGUUUCGGCGGUUGGGUAUGGACUCGCUGCUUAUCAGCUUGUUGGUGGGGUAGUGGCUUACCAAGGCUUUGACGGGUAGCCGGCCUGAGAGGGUGACCGGCCACAUUGGGACUGAGAUACGGACCAGACUCGUACGGGAGGCAGCAGGGGGGAAUAUUGCAGAAUGGGCGGAAGCGUGAGGCAGCAACGUCGCGUGCGGGAUGACGGGUUUCGGGGUGUAAACCGAUUUGGCCUGAGACGAAGCGGGAGUGACGGUAAUGGGUAAAGAAGCAACGGCUAACUACGUG
rnacentral:rRNA from 1 species